rnacentral:rRNA from 1 species
AUUUUGGAUAAUGGGGGAAACCGUGAUCCAGCCAUGCCGCGUGUGUGACGAUUGUCUCCGGAUUGUAAAGCACUUUAAGUUGGGAGGAAGGGCUUUAGGGUAAUACCCUGAAGCUUCGACGUUACCAACAGAAUAAGCACUGGCUAACUCUGUGCCAGCAGCCGCGGUAAGACUGAGGGUGCAAGCGUUAAUCGGAAUUACUGGGCGUAAAGCGCGCGUAGGUGGUUCAGUAAGAUGGGUGUGAAAUCCCCGGGCUUAACCUGGGAACUGCUUUCAUAACUGCUGAGCUAGAGUACGGUAGAGGGUAGUGGAAUUUCCUGUGUAGCAGUGAAAUGCGUAGAUAUAGGAAGGAACACCAGUGGCGAAGGCGACUACCUGGACUGAUACUGACACUGAGGUGCGAAAGCGUGGGGAGCAAAC